rnacentral:rRNA from 1 species
UUCGUAGGCGGUGUGGCAAGUCGGGAGUGAAAUCUCUAGGCUCAACCUAGAGGCUGCUUCCGAAACUGCUGUGCUUGAGUGUGAGAGAGGCUCGUGGAAUUGCAGGUGUAGCGGUGAAAUGCGUAGAUAUCUGCAGGAACACCCGUGGCGAAAGCGGCGAGCUGGAUCACUACUGACGCUGAGGAACGAAAGCUAGGGGAGCAAACAGGAUUAGAUACCCUGGUAGUCCUAGCCCUAAACGAUCAGGACUUGGGGUGGCUUCCGUUCGGAAGUCGUCCCGGAGCUAACGCGUUAAAGUCCUGCACCUGGGGAGUACGGUCGCAAGACUGAA